rnacentral:sRNA from 1 species
UCCUUCAUGAAUUGACCUACGGUAAAGU